AUCAACUAAUUCACUGAAUAUAAUAUUCACUGGAGGGAGGGAGGCUUAUCAUUAAGUGGGUGCUCUGGCCAAGUCAGGGUCUGCUGAAAAAACAAAGUAAACUGACACUGAGGUCAGAGCAGGGCCAGACAAGAGACAACUGUGACCUAAAACAGUGUCAGGAACGUCACCAAAGGACAACAGUGCGGAGAAACCUAGAAGAAUUGCCACUUGACAAUUCACAACACAGAACUGAGACGUUCCGGGCUGUGCCAAAGUUCCGGGCACAUCUUUCCUUGCAGGAAGCCAAAGCUCCCUACAUAGGCCUGUCGGUUCCAGAACGCCUCAGGAAGGCAGGAAAUGGCUCAGAGGCAGGACCACGACCAUCUACGAUGUGAGAUCUCUGGCCUCUGGGUCUCCUGACUGCUAGGUCAGCACUCCAGCAGGCUCCUUGGGUGAGCCAGACCCCCAUCUACCAUGCUAUGGGACUGGUUUCACUUUCUAUCCUCAGAACUGUCUUCACUGACACCAAGAAGCAAACGACAGAGGGGUGGGUCUUCAGGAGACCCAGAAUAAAGAGAGCAAGUAGAGAGUUCAAACAUCCCUGAUACAGUUGAGCAGAAAAGAGACUAAGGAAGAACGAAAAGAGGAGAAGGACUCAGAUGAGACUUACAUUAAAAGAAGAAAUGGAUAACCUGGCUUCACCACUUUCGAAACACUCCGUUCAUCAGUAAACAGCAACCUCUUCUUCUUAGAGACUUCCCCGCCAUCCGCGACAGCCUCGUCUCUACGGCCUGACUCCGAUCCUGCACCUGGCUAUGCACGACAACAGGCCGGUGUUUAAGCCCUCCAGCUGCUGUACCAGAGAGAGAAGGAGAGAGAGAAUCCCAAGCAGGCUCUGCGCUGUCAACACAAAGUCCGAUGCGGGGCUCGAACCCACGAACCGUGAAAUCGUGACCUGAGCUGACGUCAGACGCUCAACCGACUGAGCCACCCAGGUGCUCUGAUUCAUCCAUUUUAGACACUGUCUGUGGACUUCCUAGCAACACAGGCAAGGAGUUAGGUCUUUAACACCCCCCACCCAUUCCAUUCUUGGGGUUCAGUUUUGUCACUCUUGCCCCAUGAUUGAUAGUGGUUGCAGAAUUGUGACUAGGUAAGCAUUGUUCACCGCAGAGCUUACUCAUGUAGUCCGAUGGCACUCGUUUCUGUCCCCUGACCCCCCGGGGUUUAAUUUCUUCUCCUUCUCUUUCUGUGCUGCCCGCCACGAUCACUCCUCCACUCCGCUCCAGUGCUCCGGCAUGACAGUUAGUGCCGUUUCCCUUGGCUACCUCCUUGACCUGUCGUACGCUGCUGUCCUGGAACCUUCCUUCGCUGCUUCCUGGGCUGGGCUUUUCCUGGCUCCCUUCUCUUCUUGCUUUCUUUACUGUCUCUCUUAAUCUGCAGUUAAGAAUCCCUUUCUAAUAUUAAAAAAUAGAAUGGUCUUCGGACCUGCCCGUGAUCGUAGGUAUCCUUUCGAUAUCUAUUAAUUGGGACCAAAAAUACAGAAAGACCAAAAGUUACUAUGAAGGCACUCCUGCUCUUAAGUGAAUUUGUGUUUUACUCACAAUAGCAUCUAUGAACGUGUGAAAGCCUGUUCAAAGUUUAGGCUUAGGGUUAGUUCAAUCUAGCCUCAGUGUCUGGUCUUCCAUUUGUCACCUCGCCCCCUCAACUUGCCGUGAGACAACCCCCUCUCUUGACUUUCUAUUCAGUUCCUGUGCCCUAGCAGAGACUUAAGUACUGGUUUAAGGCCCACCUUGCAGGUGCACGUGACCAUGGCUGGCCAAUCAGGGUCUCCUCCUGCCAGAUACAGGGUCCAAGCAGACCAAUCAGAGGCUUUUUGAAGACUGGCUUUCCUUUAUGAGGCUUGCUCAACCUCAGUGGAGAGUUGGAGUUACUAACGACUAUCUUUGCAGUCUUGGGGCAUCCAUCCUGAAGGCUGAAGCCAUCAUGGAGGAAAGCACAACUGAGGGAUAGUUGGGGAGAGAAUGACGUUUGAGCGCUAGAUGCGGCCAGCUUGAAGAUCUUAGGCUUCCCGGUUAUGUGAGCCGAUACACCGUAUGACAUUUUUGGCUUAAGCAUAUUUUAGUUGGAUUUCUUUCACUUGGAGCAUAAAGAGCGGCGACUGAUAUCCUGUCUUUGUGAACUUGGGCAGGUUAUACAAGCGGUGCGUACAGACUUGGACCGUGACAACGCAGCUCCCGCUAGGUCCCCUAUGGCUGCCCUGUUAUCAGCCUGAGCCUGAGACAGCUUGACAUUGAAUAGUCCGUUUUAGGGACUGGAGGAAACGACUUACCGUGAGUCACUGCCCUAAAAUAUGCUUUCUACCCACAUGCCCGGUGCCUGGAAUUCUGUGGUGAUGGUGGCAUUCCUCAGGGUUAACCAUGGCUCUCUUCAAACGGUUCUCCUUUGGAGUGUGAAGUCUGCGAUAUUUAACUUGUAGAAGUCCUUUCUUCUGGAGGUCCCUCUGGCAGGCAGUGGAUCCAGGAUGCGGUGUAGACAGACCUAGUGUGGCGCCAGGCCGCUCUCUGCCGCUGCCCUGCCCUGGAAACACACGCAGCCUAAGCACCAUUCCUGCCUCUGCUCUGGGCCUCGGGACUUUUCUUCUUCUUGAAUGAGUGUGCUCCCGCCCCCCAGCUGGUGCUCCACGCCAUCCCCCAGGUCUCAACAACAUACCCCCACCAGGACCACAGGAGCCAGAGCUGGUCGUGCCUGGUGGUCCUCAGGACUGAGAGGCCCUGACCUCCGUGGGGGCAGGAGCCGGCCAGCAUGACCAGUCGGGACUCCCAGGUUAAGAAUCCAGUUGAGCCUCCUGGUCCUCCUCAAUCUGCUCUGCCCUUCGUCUCCCACCCCCAAAUCCCUGCCGACCUCCAGCCCUGAAGAAGCCGGAGAACCUCUGCUUCCCCCACCUCCCCGUCCGCCUUGUCCUACUUCAGUAGUUUGGCUCCUCCGAGCCCUCUUCUUGAUUCAACCUUGCUUGGCCUGUGAAGACUUGAACAAACACGGACGUGGUUGCUGGCAGCUCGUGGCCGCAUCCCUAGUAGGACCCUAGCCUCCCUUAAAGUGCCUGCCUGCCAAACUCCCGGCUGUCUAAAGGAUUGGCUGCUGAGUCCAGCCAACGCCUGAAGAUCGGGCCCCUGUCUCCCAGCUUCUGUGAGAGGGCAGGAGCUUAACUUUGAGAAGUGUCAGCAAAGCCAGAUGGGUCUCAUAUGGGCCAGCGUCCCUUCCUGCUUUUUGUCAUCUUUCACUUCUGAUUAUAGAGCCCCCCACUCAUUCCCUUCCCUAGUCCCUCAUUCUCCCUGUGAAAUACCCCAUCACCUCUGUAAUAAUCCCAGUCGGGUGCCUGCUCACGAUGAACCCUUUCCCCUACGGCACUGCAAUACUAUGUUACUGACUGAAAUCUGUCUGGAUUACUUUAAGUAGUGUCUGCUUUUGUUUAUUUUCAUCAGGGGAGGUGUGCAGGAUCAGCCUUUUAAUUUUUUUUUUUUUAAUAUUUAUUUUUGAGAGAGAGGCAGGGUGCAAGCAGGGGGGUGGGGGAGGGGCAGAGAGCGAGUUAGACACAGACUCCAAAGCGGGCUCCAGGCUCCGCGCUGUCAGCACAGAGCCCGACGUGGGGCUCAAACCCAAGAACCGUGAGAUCAUGACCUGAGCCGAAGUCGGUCGCUCAACUGACUGAACCACCCAGGUGCCCCAACAGCCUUUGAAAUUAAAUUAUUUUCAGGAUCAGCUUUUUAAGUAAGCAUCCCAGGGAUGUUUGCGUAUAGAGGUCCAAAGGCUGUAUUUUGAGAAAUCGUGUUUCCCUGUGGAGAUCUUUUCUCUGGCAGCCCUUUUGAAUGGGGGCUAUGUUUUCUCAGAUACUGCAUUGCCAAUAGUCCAUCCAGCUUUAAUUCCAGUGAGAACGUUCCGGAGAUGAAACUAAGAAUCAACUCCAGGCGCUUCUCCAGUCACCUCUGGGGAUGAGUGUAUGUCGUCAGCAUCCAGCGCCUCACCUGCUGCCCAGCUAGAAUGACACCUUUCAGGGUUUCUGACUUAGAAACACGACCACCAGGUCCUGGAAACCCACGAACCAUCGUUCACAGAUUCCCUCGACAGCAGAAUUCUGCCGAUAAAGCGUACCUGUGUGAAAUUUGGAAGGCGGAGGUGGAAGGAGGUGGAAGCCAUGCUUUUCUCCUCUGUAGCAGCAGACAUGCAGGCUGAAUGUUGGAGUCCAUACUCCCCACCAGUCAGGCUUGGGGCCAUGGGGCUGUAGUGACCCCGGCAGUGGCUUCCCGAAGUUUCCUGACCGAGUGGCAGCAGCAACUUUGAAUCUAUGGAAAGCAACUGUGGUAAAGUAACCUGAGAGCUAGUGGUGCGAUUCCCCCCUGGCCCUGACCUUCACCACCGCGAGCCCCACCAGUGAUCACUCACUCUGGAGGCACCCAGCCAUCAUGCUGUGAGGACACUCAGUCAAACAGCAUGUGGGCAGGCUCAUAUGGCAGGGAUCUGAGGCCUCCCUCCAACCCCCUUGACAGCCAUGUUAAGUGAGUGAACCACCUUGGAAGUGGACCCUUCCGACUCAGUCGAGCCUUCAGAUGACUGCAGCCCUGUGGUAUCUUGAGAAUCUCACAAAAGACCCAGGGGCAGAAGUGCCCAAGCUAUUCCCGAAAUUUUGCCUCAAAACUUUUGAGGAAUGGGGCGCCUGGGUGGCUCAGUUGGUUGAGCGUCUGACUUUGGCUCAGGUCAUGGUCUCACCAUUCAUGGCUCCGGGCCCCGCAUUGGGCUCUGUGCUGACAGCUCAGAGCCUGGAGCCUGCUUCAGAUUCUGUGUCUCCCUCUCUCUCUGCCCGCACGCUCUGUCUCUCUCUCUCCCUCUCUCUCAAAAAUAAACAUUAAAAAAAUUAAAAGAAAUACGGCAAGGUAGCAGUUGAGACUGAUACGUACUGUGCAAAUUUGAGGUCGUGUUAUAGAAACAACAUUUUCUAAGCUUCACUUUAUGAACCACAUUUGAGCUAAUGGAAAUAUUCCAAAAUAGGAGAAUGGAGUUGCCUGGAAUCCCGGCCCACACUUCGGGAAGCCCAACUAUGCCCAGAUGGGUCUUCCUGGUUUCUCGUCAGCUCUGUCUCUGUGUCCACCUCUCUUCUUCAAAAAGUCACCACCGGCCCCCGCUCCACCCAGCUCAUGAAGGAGUUUGAGCUGGUAUGAGGAGUUUCUGCCCUUGUGACCUAAGAGUGACUAAAGGGCCUAGUACUGCGCCUGGCUCAAAGCAGGUGCUCACCAAACAGGAGCGGCCACCAUCCUCAUCGUUGUAAUUAUUGAUUCUUUGAUGGUGACCAUGGCUUAGACGUCUCUGUAGCCCUGCACCCUGCAGCAGGGCAGUAUAACCGUCAGCAGGCUUUGGAGUUAACAGGCCUGGAUUAAACCCCUACCUGGCAGUUUUGGACUUGCGGCCUUGGGCACCUGAACAGGGUACCUACAUCCUUUAAGCCCUGUCCCCUUAUCUGCCAGAUGGGGAUGAUAAAGUAUGUUUUCACGGACUG